CCCCCAUUACAACUUCCGUUUUUCGGUAGGGACGAUUGUAGUUCUGUGAAUUUUAGGGUAUAAAGUCUUUUUUUGCUCCCAGGCGUCCAUUUUUGGUGCACAGGUGCAUGCUUGGUAUUAAAAUGCUGGAAACUGUCUAAACUUUGAGGAGGUAUGAGCUUUAUUGAUGAAAGUUUGAAAUUCUGGGCGAGAGGACACAAGGUGUGAGGUAGUGAUGAGGCUGCGAGUGACGUCCCCUUGGCGUUGCUAGGCACGCCUCCCAGCUGCCGGCAUGGAAAGGUCCAGAUUUUGACGGUCAACCUAUGUCAAGAUUUUUAUGGCUUCUUUCUCACAGGCUGGGCCAGAUGCCAAUGUGACACCCUUUGAUGUUACUGUGCAGAGUAAUAACCUGCUGUGAGACAACAGCAAUGGUGCAGGGAGGUUUUUGCAUGAUAAACAUCUUGUCUUUCCAAAACAGUUGACCUGAUGGAGAUAUCUCGAACGGUAUAUGCACUGCAAGGCUUCAAAGUUUACCCCUCAGAGUUUUUUCACCCUGGAAAAAAGACACAUGUUCAAGAUGGGGGUACCCCAACUUGAAUUCAUUCAACUCCAAAGUUUCUGCAUGUAUCAAGCCCUAAUUUUGCCUGUGAGGUUCAGAAGUGUCAGGAAUUGUGUGGUGCAAAAAUUAUUGAUUUUGAAAAAAGGUGGCUGGUGUGAUAGGACACAGACCCCCAUUACAACUUCCGUUUUUCGGUAGGGACGAUUGUAGUUCUGUGAAUUUUAGGGUAUAAAGUCUUUUUUUGCUCCCAGGCGUCCAUUUUUGGUGCACAGGUGCAUGCUUGGUAUUAAAAUGCUGGAAACUGUCUAAACUUUGAGGAGGUAUGAGCUUUAUUGAUGAAAGUUUGAAAUUCUGGGCGAGAGGACACAAGGUGUGAGGUAGUGAUGAGGCUGCGAGUGACGUCCCCUUGGCGUUGCUAGGCACGCCUCCCAGCUGCCGGCAUGGAAAGGUCCAGAUUUUGACGGUCAACCUAUGUCAAGAUUUUUAUGGCUUCUUUCUCACAGGCUGGGCCAGGUAUGCACCAAAGCUUAAUGGCCACGGAA